AGUUUUAUAAAUAAAAUAAUUAAGAUUAUUUAAUUUAAUAAAAUUAAGAUUAUAUUAUUUAUUUUGUUGGGGUGACAGAAAAAUAUAUUUAACUUUUUUUUUUAUUUAAAACAUUUAUAAGUGGUUAAAUGAUCCAAUAUUAUUGAUUAUAAGAAAAAAUUACCUUAGGGAUAACAGCGUAAUUUUUUUUUUUAGUUCAAAUAAGAAAAAGAGUUUGCGACCUCGAUGUUGGAUUAAGAUAAAAUUUAAAUGCAGAAG
rnacentral:rRNA from 1 species